UCAAGUAAUUAAGUGCAUGUGGUGGAUGCCUUGGCAGUCAGAGGCGAUGAAAGACGUGAUAGCCUGCGAAAAGCUCCGGGGAGGCGGCAAAUAUCCUUUGAUCCGGAGAUGUCUGAAUGGGGGAACCCACCUACUUUAAGGUAGGUAUUGCAACAUGAAUACAUAGUGUUGCAAGGCGAACGAGGGGAAGUGAAACAUCUCAGUACCCUUAGGAAAAGAAAUCAAUUGAGAUUCCCUCAGUAGCGGCGAGCGAACGGGGAUCAGCCCAUUAAGUUAUGUGUGUUUUAGUGGAACGCUCUGGGAAGUGCGAACGUAGAGGGUGAUAUUCCCGUACACGAAAGGGCACACAUAAUGAUGACGAGUAGGGCGAGGCACGUGAAACCUUGUCUGAAUAUGGGGGGACCAUCCUCCAAGGCUAAAUACUCCUGACUGACCGAUAGUGAACCAGUACCGUGAGGGAAAGGCGAAAAGAACCCCUGUGAGGGGAGUGAAAUAGAUCCUGAAACCGCAUGCAUACAAGCAGUGGGAGCACCUUCGUGGUGUGACUGCGUACCUUUUGUAUAAUGGGUCAGCGACUUAUAUUCAGUAGCGAGGUUAACCGUAUAGGGGAGCCGUAGAGAAAUCGAGUCUUAAUAGGGCGUUUAGUUGCUGGGUAUAGACCCGAAACCAGGCGAUCUAUCCAUGAGCAGGUUGAAGGUUGGGUAACACUAACUGGAGGACCGAACCCACUGUCGUUGAAAAGCCAGGGGAUGACUUGUGGAUAGGGGUGAAAGGCUAAUCAAGCCUGGUGAUAGCUGGUUCUCCCCGAAAGCUAUUUAGGUAGCGCCUCGGACGAAUACCAUAGGGGGUAGAGCACUGUUUCGGCUAGGGGGUCAUCCCGACUUACCAAACCGAUGCAAACUCCGAAUACCUAUGAGUACUAUCCGGGAGACAGACUGCGGGUGCUAACGUCCGUAGUCAAGAGGAAAACAAUCCAGACCGCCAGCUAAGGCCCCAAAAUCAUAGUUAAGUGGGAAACGAUGUGGGAAGGCAUAGACAGCUAGGAGGUUGGCUUAGAAGCAGCCACCCUUUAAAGAAAGCGUAAUAGCUCACUAGUCGAGUCGGCCUGCGCGGAAGAUGUAACGGGGCUAAAACUAUGUGCCGAAGCUGCGGAUGUAUACUUUGUAUACGUGGUAGGGGAGCGUUCUGUAAGCCGAUGAAGGUGUGUUGAGAAGCAUGCUGGAGGUAUCAGAAGUGCGAAUGCUGACGUGAGUAACGACAAAACGGGUGAAAAACCCGUUCGCCGAAAGACCAAGGGUUCCAGUCCAACGUUAAUCGGGGCUGGGUGAGUCGACCCCUAAGGCGAGGCCGAAAGGCGUAGUCGAUGGGAAAAUGGUUAAUAUUCCAUUACUUCUGUGUAAUGCGAUGAGAGGACGGAGAAGGCUAAAUCAGCCUGGCGUUGGUUGUCCAGGUGAAAGGAUGUAGGCAUGUAUCUUAGGCAAAUCCGGGGUACUCUAUGCUGAGAUCUGAUAGCAAGCUGUACUUGUACAGCGAAGUGGUUGAUGCCAUGCUUCCAGGAAAAGUCUCUAAGCUUCAGUUACACAGGAAUCGUACCCGAAACCGACACAGGUGGUCAGGUCGAGUAGACCAAGGCGCUUGAGAGAACUCUGCUGAAGGAACUAGGCAAAAUGGUACCGUAACUUCGGGAGAAGGUACGCUGUUGUUGGUGAUGGAACUCGCUUCCUGAGCUGACGACAGCCGCAGAAACCAGGCCGCUGCAACUGUUUAUUAAAAACAUAGCACUCUGCAAACACGAAAGUGGACGUAUAGGGUGUGAUGCCUGCCCGGUGCUGGAAGGUUAAUUGAUGGGGUUAGCGUAAGCGAAGCUCUUGAUCGAAGCCCCAGUAAACGGCGGCCGUAACUAUAACGGUCCUAAGGUAGCGAAAUUCCUUGUCGGGUAAGUUCCGACCUGCACGAAUGGCAUAAUGAUGGCGG
rnacentral:rRNA from 1 species